rnacentral:lncRNA from 1 species
UUUUUGGAAAAACAAGCUGAGAUUGCUGUUUGGGGUGAGCCAAGGCUAGCUCCGUCUUGAAGGCUGUACUUUGACCUAUAAUUGUUAACAUUAAAUACAUUGUGACCGUGGAUUUUUUUCUCAAAUGAUAUGGCUAAAAUUACCCGUUUUCCCUUCGAUUUCCUUACUUUAAGAAAGAUCAGUUUUGCUGGAUCCUUGGAGCAAUUUUCAUGCAAACAAUUAUUAUCUGUAUUUUCUGUAUUUAAAGAUAUUUUUUUAGAAACUGGUAAGUUCAAAAAACAUAUAAAGCAAGAUUAUAAAACAC